rnacentral:tRNA from 41 species
GCGGAAGUAGUUCAGUGGUAGAACACCACCUUGCCAAGGUGGGGGUCGCGGGUUCGAACCCCGUCUUCCGCUCCA